rnacentral:rRNA from 1 species
UUUGUUGGAAUGAAAAGUCUGACCUGCCCACUGAAGGUAUUUGAAGGGCUGCGGUAUUAUGACCGUGCAAAGGUAGCAUAGUCAAUAGUCUCUUAAUUGGGGGCUUGAAUGAACGGUUGGACGGAAAGGAGGCUGUCUUAUUUUAUUGUGGUGAAUUUGACUUUUGUGUGAAAAGGCAUAAAUGACUCGGGGGGACGAUAAGACCCUAUAAAACUUGAUAAUUUAAGAGUGGGUUCUUGAGUUGAGUAUAAUAUGAAUUUGGGCUGAGUUAUUUCAUUGGGGAGGUGAGAAUAUAAUCUGGUAACUGUUCUGAUAAUGUAAAUGGUGAUAGUUAGAUGGUGACCCUAGAUUCUGGGUUAAGAGUUAAAGUUACUUUAGGGAUAACAGCGUAAUUUCUCUUGAGAGUCCAUAUCGACGGAGGUAGUUGCGACCUCGAUGUUGAAUUAAAAUUUCCUGCAGGAGUAGAGAUUUGUGGGGUAGGUCUGUUCGACCUUUAAAAUUU